rnacentral:rRNA from 1 species
GUGAGGAAUUUUCCGCAAUGGGCGAAAGCCUGACGGAGCAAUGCCGCGUGAAGGAUGAAGGCCUAUGGGUUGUAAACUUCUUUUCUCAGAAAAGAAUUAUGACGGUAUCUGAGGAAUAAGCAUCGGCUAACUCUGUGCCAGCAGCCGCGGUAAGACAGAGGAUGCAAGCGUUAUCCGGAAUGAUUGGGCGUAAAGCGUCUGUAGGUUGUUUAAAAAGUAUUCUGUCAAAGAUUAGGGCUUAACCCUAGAUAGGCAGAAUAAACUUUUAAGCUAGAGUUUUGUAGAGGCAGAGGGAAUUCCCGGUGGAGCGGUGAAAUGCGUAGAUAUCGGGAGGAACACCAAAGGCGAAGGCACUCUGCUGGGCCAAUACUAACACUGAGAGACGAAAGCGAGGGGAGCAAAUGGGAUUAGAAACCCCGGUAGUCC